GCCAUCAGAGGAUGGACCUCACCCUCAAGAGGAGUUCUGCUGAAGCUGGCACACCCCAUUCUCUGGAGAUUUCUAGAUUGAUGAUGGAGGAAGCUGAAGGCAAUGUUUCAGACCAAACCUCCAACCUUUAAAAUCAGAACCAUUUCUGAGCUAGCAUGGCCCUGGAGAUGACAAGGGGAGAAACACAGCAAACUGGAGAGAGGCUUCCCUGGUGAGAGGAGAGCUGUGGUAGCCCUGGGGCUGUCAAGCAUGGCUCUGGCUCCAGACGAUAGGCAUUAUAUACAUUUGCCAGAAGCGACAAAUCUGGAGGAAGGGGCCUUCCUCUGAUCCUCACAGCAAAGGAGGGGAAAGAGCAGACAGCAUUAACCGGGGGUGAGGGGGGUACUCAGAGAGGAAUCCAAAUGUCCCCGGUUUAAGCAGCUGCACUCAAUUUAGUUCUGGUGAAGGCUGCUCAAUUGACAGCCCUGGAAACCAGUGCUGUGUGCUUAUAAGCAGUCUGGGCAGAGGGCUGCAACAUGGAUGGCAGAAGCACAAACUUGCAGAAAUUGCUUGUCCAUCUCAAAACAGACUUCAAGCAUCUGGCUCCAUGGAGCACAGCCGAACUGCCCAGGCAGACAUGGUCUUCUGAGGUCUGAAAGCAACAGUGCCAAAGAACUGCUGAAGGAUUUCUACAAGAAGUCGCAUGGAAAUACUGCUGAGAAAUUGGUCCUUCCGAGGAUCAGAGGAGAUGAAGCAAAACUAACUGUACAAUUUUUCACAAGCUUUCCAAAUGCAUUUUUUGCAGACUAGUGAUGACUUUCAGCUCUUUCCACCCACCAGUAAUUCCGGUUUUAUAGAACAGUGGAGGGAAGGCUAAGGAGAAGCAAAGUUCAUUUCCCACUUGCAUCAUUAGUGAAAAAACAUUCCUGGAGCUUUUAAUAGCAGCUGUCAGCAUUAAAGCUCAUGGUGUACAACUCAGAGGUAGAUUCAUCUCUCCUGAACAAAUUUAAUUAACAAAGCUGCACUACAGCAACACACAAGUAGGAGUGAGCAGUUAACAGCUCCCAGUCUAAAGUAUGAAGCUUCCUGAAGAAAUACUGCUGAUUAAAGCAGUGCAGUGAAAAGUUCUUCACAUAUCUAAAUUUCUAUCACUGUCCC
ensembl:lncRNA